AUUGAACGCUGGCGGCAGGCUUAACACAUGCAAGUCGAGCGAGAGGCGGACGGGUGAGUAAUGUCUGGGAAACUGCCUGAUGGAGGGGGAUAACUACUGGAAACGGUAGCUAAUAACGCAUACCAUCAGAUGUGCCCAGAUGGGAUUAGCUAGUAGGUGGGGUAAAGGCUCACCUAGGAGAAGAUCCCUAGCUGGUCUGAGAGGAUGACCAGCCACACUGGAACUGAGACACGGUCCAGAUUCCGACGGGAGUCAGCAUUGGGUAAUAUUGCACAAUGGGCGCAAGCCUGAUGCAGCCAUGCCGCGUGUGUGAAGAAGGCCUUCGGGUUGUAAAGCACUUUCAGCGAGGAGGCGUUACUCGCAGAAGAAGCACCGGCUAACUCCGUGCCAGCAGCCGCGGUAAUUC
rnacentral:rRNA from 1 species